rnacentral:rRNA from 2 species
AGCCGCGGUAAUACGUAGGUGGCAAGCGUUAUCCGGAUUUAUUGGGCGUAAAGCGAGCGCAGGCGGUUUUUUAAGUCUGAUGUGAAAGCCCUCGGCUUAACCGAAGAAGUGCAUCGGAAACUGGGAAACUUGAGUGCAGAAGAGGACAGUGGAACUCCAUGUGUAGCGGUGAAAUGCGUAGAUAUAUGGAAGAACACCAGUGGCGAAGGCGGCUGUCUGGUCUGUAACUGACGCUGAGGCUCGAAAGCAUGGGUAGCGAACAGGAUUAGAUACCCUGGUAGUCCAUACCGUAAACGAUGAAUGCUAAGUGUUGGAGGGUUUCCGCCCUUCAG